rnacentral:rRNA from 1 species
UGAACGCUAGCUACAGGCUUAACACAUGCAAGUCGAGGGGCAUCAGGAAGAAAGCUUGCUUUCUUUGCCGGCGACCGGCGCACGGGUGAGUAACACGUAUCCAACCUGCCCUUUACUCGGGGAUAGCCUUUCGAAAGAAAGAUUAAUACCCGAUAGUAUAAUGAUUCCGCAUGGUUUCAUUAUUAAAGGAUUCCGGUAAAGGAUGGGGAUGCGUUCCAUUAGGUUGUUGGUGAGGUAACGGCUCACCAAGCCUUCGAUGGAUAGGGGUUCUGAGAGGAAGGUCCCCCACAUUGGAACUGAGACACGGUCCAAACUCCUACGGGAGGCAGCAGUGAGGAAUAUUGGUCAAUGGGCGCUAGCCUGAACCAGCCAAGUAGCGUGAAGGAUGAAGGCUCUAUGGGUCGUAAACUUCUUUUAUAUAAGAAUAAAGUGCAGUAUGUAUACUGUUUUGUAUGUAUUAUAUGAAUAAGGAUCGGCUAACUCCGUGCCAGCAGCCGCGGUAAUACGGAGGAUCCGAGCGUUAUCCGGAUUUAUUGGGUUUAAAGGGAGCGUAGGUGGACUGGUAAGUCAGUUGUGAAAGUUUGCGGCUCAACCGUAAAAUUGCAGUUGAUACUGUCAGUCUUGAGUACAGUAGAGGUGGGCGGAAUUCGUGGUGUAGCGGUGAAAUGCUUAGAUAUCACGAAGAACUCCGAUUGCGAAGGCAGCUCACUGGACUGCAACUGACACUGAUGCUCGAAAGUGUGGGUAUCAAACAGGAUUAGAUACCCUGGUAGUCCACACAGUAAACGAUGAAUACUCGCUGUUUGCGAUAUACAGUAAGCGGCCAAGCGAAAGCAUUAAGUAUUCCACCUGGGGAGUACGCCGGCAACGGUGAAACUCAAAGGAAUUGACGGGGGCCCGCACAAGCGGAGGAACAUGUGGUUUAAUUCGAUGAUACGCGAGGAACCUUACCCGGGCUUAAAUUGCAGUGGAAUGAUGUGGAAACAUGUCAGUGAGCAAUCACCGCUGUGAAGGUGCUGCAUGGUUGUCGUCAGCUCGUGCCGUGAGGUGUCGGCUUAAGUGCCAUAACGAGCGCAACCCUUAUCUUCAGUUACUAACAGGUCAUGCUGAGGACUCUGGAGAGACUGCCGUCGUAAGAUGUGAGGAAGGUGGGGAUGACGUCAAAUCAGCACGGCCCUUACGUCCGGGGCUACACACGUGUUACAAUGGGGGGUACAGAAGGCAGCUAGCGGGUGACCGUAUGCUAAUCCCAAAAUCCUCUCUCAGUUCGGAUCGAAGUCUGCAACCCGACUUCGUGAAGCUGGAUUCGCUAGUAAUCGCGCAUCAGCCACGGCGCGGUGAAUACGUUCCCGGGCCUUGUACACACCGCCCGUCAAGCCAUGGGAGCCGGGGGUACCUGAAGUACGUAACCGCAAGGAUCGUCCUAGGGUAAAACUGGUGACUGGGG